UACGUAGGGUGCAAGCGUUGUCCGGAAUUAUUGGGCGUAAAGAGCUCGUAGGCGGUCUGUCGCGUCUGCUGUGAAAACUCGGGGCUUAACCCCGGGCCUGCAGUGGGUACGGGCAGACUAGAGUGCGGUAGGGGAGACUGGAAUUCCUGGUGUAGCGGUGAAAUGCGCAGAUAUCAGGAGGAACACCGGUGGCGAAGGCGGGUCUCUGGGCCGUAACUGACGCUGAGGAGCGAAAGCGUGGGAGCGAACAGG
rnacentral:rRNA from 1 species